CUCGGAGUUUUGCUAAUCUUCCAGGUGUUCACAUGCUUUGCUCAUUCUCCUCUUGGAUUACUAGUCUGUAGUCUCAAUUUCCAGGAGCUCUUUAUAUUCUGGGAAGACCAGCCCACUAUCUAUAAUGAGGAUUCUUUUCAUCGAAAAAAAAAACACACCUCUUUUCCAGGCUGGAGGGAAGCAUACACGAACUGUCUUCUCCCGUCCACUUGCCAACUUCGAUUUUGAGUCUGAUGGAGCUGCCAAUCACGGGAUCUAAUCAUGUGGCCACAAGAUGAUCUUGAUGUGGCCAAAUAUAGUAGCUCAUUCCUCCAGCCCCAUUCAUUGGUUCAAAGGAAUGAGACACUAUGUGAUGGGCAUGUGUCCCAAGAUGGAUUAAACUUUCUCUUGGGUUGUUGCUAUUUGGAGCUAGAUGAGAAGGGGCGUGCCUUUCGGAUAACAAACGCUGGGGAGACAUGAAAAUGAAUCAGCCAGCAGUCAUAUAAAGUACAUGGGCAUAUUAUAAAACUUGGAAGGCUACUCAAAAUAUUUUAAAAGUUAUUUUAUUGUGUUGGCAUUUUGAGUGAUUUUUUGAAAAUCACUAUAUUUAGUGCUAUAAUUUUUAUUUUCAAUUAAAACAAAACAAACUAACAGGCCAAUUAAACUUUUGAGGUAAUUAAGUAUAUAGGACAACUUAUACAAAGUUUGCACAGAAUAGCACAGAUCGAAGUGGGAAAAACUUCACAGAACUGAGGAAUAUUAGUUUACUCUUAAAUGAUUUGGAUGAGCAGAGAAAUACAGUGACCACAUUUUGUGCAGAAAAGGAGCCAGGGCCCUGGCUGGUUUUGCUCAAUGGAUAGAGCAGGGGUGGGCAAACUUUUUGACUCGAGGGCCACAAUGGGUUCUUAAACUGGACCGGAGGGCCGGAACAAAAGCAUG